rnacentral:rRNA from 1 species
ACUCCUACGGGAGGCAGCAGUGGGGAAUAUUGGACAAUGGGCGCAAGCCUGAUCCAGCCAUGCCGCGUGUGUGAAGAAGGCCCUCGGGUUGUAAAGCACUUUCAGUGAGGAAGAAAGCUUGUCGGUUAAUACCGGCAAGGACGACAUCACUCACAGAAGAAGCACCGGCUAACUCCGUGCCAGCAGCCGCGGUAAUACGGAGGGUGCGAGCGUUAAUCGGAAUUACUGGGCGUAAAGCGUGCGUAGGCGGCUUGGUAAGCCGGUUGUGAAAGCCCCGGGCUGCAACCUGGGAACGGCAUCCGGAACUGUCAGGCUAGAGUGCAGGAGAGGAAGGUAGAAUUCCCGGUGUAGCGGUGAAAUGCGUAGAGAUCGGGAGGAAUACCAGUGGCGAAGGCGGCCUUCUGGACUGACACUGACGCUGAGGUACGAAAGCGUGGGUAGCAAACAGGAUUAGAUACCCUGGUAGGCUCUG